GAGAUAGGGUCCUCCGGGCCCGAACCUCCAACCCUUUGCGUACCUUACCUUUGUUGCUUUGGCGGGCCCGCUGGGGAAACCCACCGCCGGCGUUGAGCCGGUGAGCGCCCGCCGGAGGCCCUCAAAACUCCGUCUGUUAGUGCCGUCUGAGUACCAUACAAUAGUUAAAACUUUCAACAACGGAUCUCUUGGUUCU
rnacentral:misc_RNA from 1 species